UAGGGAAUAUUGGUCAAUGGGUGAGAGCCUGAACCAGCCAUGCCGCGUGCAGGAAGAAGGCCUUCUGGGUUGUAAACUGCUUUUGCCAGGGGAUAAAAAGACCAUGCGUGGUUUAUUGAAGGUACCUGGUGAAUAAGCACCGGCUAACUACGUGCCAGCAGCCGCGGUAAUACGUAGGGUGCAAGCGUUGUCCGGAUUUAUUGGGUUUAAAGGGUGCGUAGGCGGCCCUGUAAGUCAGUGGUGAAAUACUCUAGCUUAACUAGAGGGGUGCCAAUGAUACUGCAGGGCUUGAGUACAGAUGAGGUAGGCGGAAUUGACGGUGUAGCGGUGAAAUGCAUAGAUAUCGUCAAGAACACCGAUAGCGAAGGCAGCUUACUGGGCUGUAACUGACGCUGAUGCACGAAAGUGUGGGGAUCAAACAG
rnacentral:rRNA from 1 species